rnacentral:snRNA from 2 species
GACAAUUUUCUCUUUUAUUAUUUCUCCAGUAGGUUUCCUCAAGGAGAAAGCCCCC